rnacentral:lncRNA from 1 species
GAGCUAGAAGCCCAGUGAGUAGAGCUAGUAAAACACAUAAACACUAUGCUCAAAUGGAAUGCAUCAUAACACAAACAAUUCACAUAAGGGUUGGGUGAACUUGUCACCAAUUAGUCCAAGCUAACAUAGUGCCAGGCCGUAGCAUGGGGUCCUGGUCUUCCUGUCAUACAUACAUUACUCACCAUUAUUCCAGGGCCUCCUCUGGGCUCCUGGUCUUCGAGUCCACAAUCGUGCCAGGCCGUAGAAUGGGGUCCUGGUCUUCCUGUCAUGGACUAAUUGGGUCAUCCAACAUUCACCCACAUCAACAACACAUGAUGCAAUGCGGCAUAUUCGUGAAACUAAUGCAAUCACCCUAUUGCAUAAUCAUGAUGCAUGAAACAUGAUAAAACAUUUAAUUUAAAAGAUUAAGUUUAGUUCCACUCACCUCUGGCUGACUCUGACAACACCGA